ACGUGAAACCGUUUAGGGGUAAACCUGAGAAACCCGAAAGAUCGAAUGAGGAGAUUCAUCGUCAGCGGAGCCGGCUUCCUUGUGGAUCGCGAUGAUUGAGACGGUGCGUUCACGCGUGCUCGUCGAUUUCACGCGUCCGCUAUGGUAUGCGUCUGGCAACGUCGGCGUGCACUUCUCCUCUAGUAGAACGUCGCGACCCGCUGGGUGUCGGUUUAAGGAUCGAGGUCGUCGACUGUUCCGUCGCGUUUCGGCGCGUACGGUCACAGACGCUUGAAUUCCCGACCGGCUGCCCGGCGGUAUACCGAAAGGUAUCGAGCCGCACACUCGAAUGCGUUCCAAAGACCCGUCGCAAGCUCGACCAGCUAUCGAACCUUUAUUGGCCGGAUGUGCGGACCUAGUGCCGUACCCGGGGCUGGUUGGCUGUUGGUCGACGGUGUUCUCGAACUGGCUAACCUAUGUUGUUAUAAACGAUACCGGUCAGCGACGCUAUUGCUUUGGGUACUUUCAGGACCCGUCUUGAAACACGGACCAAGGAGUCUAACAUGUGCGCGAGUCAUUGGGACUUUGAAACCUAAAGGCGCAUUGAAAGAGAAGAUCGGCCUUGCGCCGAUUGAGGGAGGAUGGGCGGCGUUUCGAUGCCGCUCCGCACUCCCGGGGCGUCUCAAUAAGUCAUUGCGACUUGAGGCGCACCCAGAGCGUACACGUUGGGACCCGAAAGAUGGUGAACUAUGCCUGGUCAGGACGAAGUCAGGGGAAACCCUGAUGGAGGUCCGUAGCGAUUCUGACGUGCAAAUCGAUCGUCGGAACUGGGUAUAGGCGCAACAGACUAAUCGAACCAUC
rnacentral:rRNA from 1 species